UCCUUGGCAGUCCAGCAGUUAAGACGCCACACUUUCAAUGUAGUGGGCUCGGGUUCAAGCCCUGUUCAUGGAA
rnacentral:tRNA from 1 species